UACGAAGGGGGCUAGCGUUGCUCGGAAUUACUGGGCGUAAAGGGCGCGUAGGCGGAUGUUUAAGUCGGGGGUGAAAGCCCGGGGCUCAACCUCGGAAUUGCCUUCGAUACUGGACAUCUUGAGUACGGGAGAGGUGAGUGGAACUCCGAGUGUAGAGGUGAAAUUCGUAGAUAUUCGGAAGAACACCAGUGGCGAAGGCGACUCACUGGCCCGUUACUGACGCUCAGGCGCGACAGCGUGGGGAGCAAACAGG
rnacentral:rRNA from 1 species